UCAAUACAUUUUCCAAUAUAAUUCCACUUAACAGUUAACUGUAAUGUUCCUUAAUAUUCCUUAUUGCCAGUCCACAUUCAAAUUUCUCAAAUUGUUCCCGACGUCCUUGGCGAUAGUUGCUUUUCCGUUUGGGGGUUGAUGGAGGACCACACAUUGCAUUUCGCUUUAAUGUUCAAAUUUAACCUCUACACCUGGAGGCUCUGAGGGAUCCUGGGUAGGAGACACUAUCAAAGACAUUUUCCAACCGUCUACUAAGAAACUGCAAAGUAACGUCAAGGCGUGGAGGUUUAUGGCAAAUGUGAUCUUGAAUCUGGCUGGCUCAUCAUGCAACAGUCUGUGCACGAACCGUCUGUGCCACACCCCCGCGCGUGCAGGCCCUGCUCUGCCUUCCUGCUUCUGCACUCUCUGCCCUGGUGGGGAGGUGCUGCCUAGGCCUUGGUUGUACACAUCUGGAAUGGAAGGCGGGUGUGGAGACUCUGCGCUGCCUGGAAACACUGAGUAGAGUGGGCUUGUGACCCAGACUGCGGGAGCAGGAAGUCUUAAGGACCAUCCCCCUCACUCCUACCCCCACCCUUGGGCUCAACCUCCAAGUCAGGCUUCCGGAUGCAGUUGAGACUGAGCACACGUAAGGAACAGGUGUUCGGUGCACGCUGGGAUCUGCGGGAAUCGGUGCCCGGCCCCACCUGCAGCACAACCAGAGAAAAGCCCCUGUUGGUGGCAGGAAGAUGCUGCUGUCACAUGUGUCCAUCACCUUACAUGAUGAUUCAUGAAGAGUUUCCAUGCUCAUCUACCUCUGACUUAUUGAAAACUUUAAAGAACCUUUAAAGAUCCAAGAAUGUCAGUCAAUUGUCCAGAGUCACCUAUAUGACAGAUCUGAAAAUCAAAGUGCCAUUAUUUGGUGUCAGGUCCAUGUUUCAGUUCAUUUAUGUUUAAUGAAGAGUAGUAAUCUUUUAUGUGGCGGUUCACAGUUUGUUUAUCCAUUCACCAACUGAUGCAUAUUUGGAUAAUUUUCAGCCAUGAACAUUUAUAUACAGGUUUCUAUGUGUGGACAUAUGUCUUCACUCUCUUGGGUGAAUACCAAGGAGUGAAUGACAUUGCUGGAUCUCAUAAGAAGUGUAUGUUUGGCAUAAUAAGGAGCUGUCAUACUUUUUCAAAGUGGCCGUACCAUUUUUCAUUUCCAUCAGCAAGAUGUGAGGGGUCUAGUUGCUCUGCAUCUUCAUCUGAAUUUAAUGAUGUCAGGUUUUUCUAUUUGAGCCAUCAUAUUGCUUUGUAAUGGUAUUACAUUUUAGUUUUAAUUUGAUUUUUCUAAUGUAUAAUAAUGAGUAUGUUUUUGUUUGUCAUCUGUUCCUUUUUGAUGAAGUGCCUAUUUGAUCUUUUCCUCAUCUUAAAAAGUUGUUUCUUACUGAUUUCAAGAGUUGUAUAUAUGCUACAAAAGUUUUUCCAAAGAUAAAUGAUUUGUAGAUACUUUC